GAAAGCUUCUGUACUUGCAGACUUGAGUUUUUAUGCAGGAACCACAACCUAACUCUAUACAUAAACAAGCUUAAAAAUCUAACUUAGGAGUACGCUUCUGUAACAAUAGCCAAGUCUCAGCUAGUCACAGCACAUCCUUCACUCACAGUUGGCUAACUGUUCAAACCAUGUUCAAAUAAGGCAAAUCUUGAGCUGUGACCAAUCCAGAUGUUUCUGUAACUCACUUCUGUUUUCUGUACAUCAAUUUCCUUUUCCUGUUCAUAAAUCUUAGUUGGCCAUGUGACAGCUCUAAAGUCUCUCUGAAUCUCUUGUAUUUAUGGGACUUGCCAGAUUCUCAAAUUGUUUUUUCUUUUAUUUUUUUCUUGCUAGAGGUCUUAGUCCCAGAGGGAGGAAUGCUGCCACCAAGAGACACAACAACGAUUCCAUUAAACUGGAAGUUAAGAUUGCCACCUGGACACUUCGUGCUCCUCCUACCUUCAAGUCAACAGGCUAAGAAAGGAGUUACAGUGUUGGCUGUGGUGAUUGACUUGGACUAUCAAGAUGAAAUCAGUCUACUACUGCACAACAGAGGUAAAAUGCACCAUGCUUCCCUUUCG
rnacentral:lncRNA from 1 species